GUAGGUGGCAAGCGUUGUCCGGAAUUAUUGGGCGUAAAGCGCGCGCAGGGGUGGUUCUUUAAGUCUGAUGUGAAAGCCCCCGGGCCCAACCGGGGAGGGUCAUUGGAAACUGGGGAACUUGAGUGCAGGAGAGGAAAGUGGAAUUCCACGUGUAGCGGUGAAAUGCGUAGAUAUGUGGAGGAACACCAGUGGCGAAGGCGACUUUCUGGCCUGUAACUGACACUGAGGCGCGAAAGCGUGGGGAGCAAACAGGAUUAGAUACCCUGGUAGUCCACGCCGUAAACGAUGAGUGCUAAGUGUUGGGGGGUUUCCGCCCCUCAGUGCUGCAGCUAACGCAUUAAGCACUCCGCCUGGGGAGUACGGUCGCAAAGACUG
rnacentral:rRNA from 1 species